GUAAGGGAUUUGAGAGGAGCUGCUCCUAGUACGAGAGGACCGGAGUGGACUGACCUCUGGUGUGCCAGUUGUUCCGCCAGGAGCAUCGCUGGGUAGCUAUGUCGGGCAGAGAUAACCGCUGAAAGCAUCUAAGUGGGAAACUCGCCUCAAGAUUAAAUCCCUCAUCCAGUUAAUGGAGUAAGACCGCAGGUAGACUACCUGCUAUAUAGGCAGCAAGUGUAAGCAUAGUAAUGUGUUGAGCUAAGCUGUACUAAUGGUCGAGGGCUAAUCC
rnacentral:rRNA from 1 species